UCCGCCGUGAGGCAGAAUCUGAAGGAAGCCGGCGGCAAAUCUCCGGUCUGAGGAACACGAACUUAAUAGAAGGCUAGCGUACGUUGGGUGAGGUUGCAUAACAAAUCAAAGCCCAUACUCCCGAAGGCGUACGAGAGUAAAUGGAGCAGAUAGAUGGAGAGGAAGAUAACGUU
rfam:Paenibacillus sp. FSL H8-0548 NODE_28_length_91407_cov_1.77348_ID_11334, whole genome shotgun sequence.